CCAAAAUAGCUUAUCCACUAUCAACUUGUUCUCCAAGGUUGAUUUACAGCCCUUGGAUCAGUUUUGAUCCAUGAGAUCUUGACCAUCCAAUUUAGUGUAAAAGGAGCACCCUUCAUUCAUGCGUACAUUUCUUCUUUUCCUUUGGUUUCUCUUGGCUUCUCUCUCAUUUCUGCAACUCUCUCUUCUUCUCUUUUGGUUUGGUUGCAUCAAGAGAAAGGAAGAUGCUCUCUAGCUUUUCCUCUAGUCCUCUUUAAUUGGAAUUGCAUCAAAGAAGAAGAAGUUCUUCUUCUCUCUCACGGGUCAGAAGUUGAAAGGAAGGAAAACAUGAAAUAGGAUCCUCCCUAUCACAUUCUUUGGCUGGAUCUAGUGUGUGGGAGUGUUGUGUAUUUCACAAGAUAUCCUAGAGAUAUUUGGAGUAUGGGAUUGUGGUGUUAACCACAAUCACAUGCGAGUUUUGCAGGAACGAAGGCAGGAGCUGCUAGGUUAUGGAUGAGACCUUUAGUAUGUAGAUGUUAUAUACAAUGGUUAUGUAAUGUUUGUGUCGCAUGUGAUACUUAUGUUGUUAUUUAGAUGUAUUUUAUUAUAUCAGAACAAAUGGUUAUUAUUUUAUAUAUUGAGGUUAUUUAGUCA